AAAAAUCCCCAAGAAAAAAGUGAAGUUGGACCCGUCAAAGCCAAUCAUUUCAAAUGCUUGAGACUCACAUUGCUUUGCGCAGACGCGAAAGCCUUGAAGCUUGAGCUCUCACAAGUACUAAACCCUCUCUCCAUGUUAACCGUUUUCUUAUUUUCUGGUUUUUGUUGUGUCUGGCUUUGAUUCACUCUUUGAAAAAGCAAAGCAGACAAAGCAGAUGAUUUCUCCAAGUUCUAGACUUCUAGUAGCAGACCCCAAAACCAGGACCGACUUUAUUGUUUACUCCAACUACUUUUAACUUCUUUGUCUUCUCUGCUAUAUGUAUAUAAGUCCCUGGCAUUCCGUCUGUCUCAUUCAUUAAUUCCCCACCUAGUCUUCGAAAUUGUUACUGCUAAGCCUAAUCCCUUGUUUGUUUCAAUUUAUUGCUCCACUCCCAUCAGCAGUAUCUCAUCGACUUACCAUAUUUCCAAUCUAGAGUUUUGAAUGGAGACUGUAGAAUUGAAGGUGGAUAUGGUCGGCAUACAUGAGAAAAGACUGAGGAAAUGCUUGUCAAAAUUGAAAGGUAUAGAGAAGGUGGAAGUUGAUGCAAACAGUCAUAAGGUGGUGGUCACAGGAUAUGCACAUCGGAACAAAAUCCUUAAAGCGGUAAGGAGAGGUGGUCUGAAAGCUGACUUCUGGUCUGCCCAAAAUGAGCUUCUCAGUACUUAUGCCAGUGCCAGUUAUGGAAGCUUGAGAUUCAACAACUUCAACGUGUUUUAGAAGUUUUUUUAUUCCCCAUUCUCCUUUCUUUUCAUUUCUCUUCUUUUCUAUACUCUUUGUUGGAUCAUAUACCAAGGUCAUGUCUAUCUUCUGUGUCUUCGUUUUUCCAUUUUUUCUUCUAAAUAUCUGUCAUCUUUUUCCUUUACAAAAGAACUGUCGUCUCAUGUUCAAUGAAGAUACAUAGAGUGAAAUGGAAGUCUUCCAAGUUUUGCUGCUUUGCCAAGUGAUGUAGACCCGAUAUGACAUGAAAAGAAGGACAACCUUUUCUCUGGCCCCUCCAGCCUCCAGCUCUUCGACUUUCGAGGACUGCAUUCUCAUGCAUAUAUACCAUAUGCCCAUUCUUUUGUAUGAAUAGAUAAAAUUCUUAAUUUUGUGGAUUAUAUCCAUUUUGAGAAAUUAUCAAAUUUUUUAAUUAAGAUUAAACAGCCUUAUGAUAUGUAAAUUUCUCACAAUUCAUUUUAAAAAUAAAUAAAUAAAAAUUUAAGAUCUAUAUAAAAAGUGAACAA